rnacentral:snRNA from 1 species
GGGUGCACCGAUUGUGACAUCUGUCACCCCAUUGAUUGCCAGGGUCUUUUCAGUUGAUAUGGCUGGCUAGGUAGGUGUCUCUUGAAGCUGGGUGCUCAGUCAAAAAGGAAAACCUUCCCUGAACAGAGGAGGAUUGGUUGUCUGUCAAGAGCUUUCAAGUGGCUGUUCUGUCCUGCUAGAACCUCUGAACAAGCUCCUAAGCAUCACAGUUAAUUAUGUCUAAUAGUUUGUUAUAGCAAUAGUGAUAACAGGGAAUAUAGCAAGAACCAUUGAACAUGUUGUAUGCAACGGCCAACACAGUU